rnacentral:sRNA from 1 species
AGAUGGAAAUCCCAAUUUUAAAGCAAUGCUCUUGGGUAUUGAGGGGUAUAUUUGUGAAGUCACAGUCAUCAUUUAUUCCAUAUUCCCUUGCCUUCUUUUCUGUCAAGUACUCUGAGAGUCUUGAUGUUGAGGAUUUAUUGGAAGCAAACAUUGUUACCUAAAUGAAGUCUAGUGGACAAAACCACCAAAAGAGGACAUGAAGUGACUGCUACAUGUAGAAGACAGAAGUAGCUCAGGGUCCUGGGGGAAUGGAGGACAUCCAAGCCCGUCCAGGAACUAUGGAGAUGGGACUCCCUAUGACCACAUGACCAGCAGGGACCUUGGGUCACAUGACAAUCUCUCUCCACCUUUUGUCAAUUCCAGAAUACAAAGUAAAACAGAAAGGGGCUCAUACUCAUCUUAUGGGAGAGAAUCAAACUUACAGGGUUGCCACCAGCAGAGUCUCCUUGGAGGUGACAUGGAUAUGGGCAACCCAGGAACCCUUUCGCCCACCAAACCUGGUUCCCAGUACUAUCAGUAUUCUAGCAAUAAUCCUCGAAGGAGGCCUCUUCACAGUAGUGCCAUGGAGGUACAGACAAAGAAAGUUCGAAAAGUUCCUCCAGGUUUGCCAUCUUCAGUCUAUGCUCCAUCAGCAAGCACUGCCGACUACAAUAGGGACUCGCCAGGCUAUCCUUCCUCCAAACCAGCAACCAGCACUUUCCCUAGCUCCUUCUUCAUGCAAGAUGGCCAUCACAGCAGUGACCCUUGGAGCUCCUCCAGUGGGAUGAAUCAGCCUGGCUAUGCAGGAAUGUUGGGCAACUCUUCUCAUAUUCCACAGUCCAGCAGCUACUGUAGCCUGCAUCCACAUGAACGUUUGAGCUAUCCAUCACACUCAUCAGCAGACAUCAAUUCCAGUCUUCCUCCGAUGUCCACUUUCCAUCGUAGUGGCACAAACCAUUACAGCACCUCUUCCUGUACGCCUCCUGCCAACGGGACAGACAGUAUAAUGGCAAAUAGAGGAAGCGGGGCAGCCGGCAGCUCCCAGACUGGAGAUGCUCUGGGGAAAGCACUUGCUUCGAUCUAUUCUCCAGAUCACACUAACAACAGCUUUUCAUCAAACCCUUCAACUCCUGUUGGCUCUCCUCCAUCUCUCUCAGCAGGCACAGCUGUUUGGUCUAGAAAUGGAGGACAGGCCUCAUCGUCUCCUAAUUAUGAAGGACCCUUACACUCUUUGCAAAGCCGAAUUGAAGAUCGUUUAGAAAGACUGGAUGAUGCUAUUCAUGUUCUGCGGAACCAUGCAGUGGGCCCAUCCACAGCUAUGCCUGGUGGUCAUGGGGACAUGCAUGGAAUCAUUGGACCUUCUCAUAAUGGAGCCAUGGGUGGUCUGGGCUCAGGGUAUGGAACCGGCCUUCUUUCAGCCAACAGACAUUCACUCAUGGUGGGGACCCAUCGUGAAGAUGGCGUGGCCCUGAGAGGCAGCCAUUCUCUUCUGCCAAACCAGGUUCCGGUUCCACAGCUUCCUGUCCAGUCUGCGACCUCCCCUGACCUGAACCCACCCCAGGACCCUUACAGAGGCAUGCCACCAGGACUACAGGGGCAGAGUGUCUCCUCUGGCAGCUCUGAGAUCAAAUCCGACGAUGAGGGUGAUGAGAACCUGCAAGACACGAAAUCUUCGGAGGACAAGAAAUUAGAUGACGACAAGAAGGAUAUCAAAUCAAUUACUAGCAAUAAUGACGAUGAGGACCUGACACCAGAGCAGAAGGCAGAGCGUGAGAAGGAGCGGAGGAUGGCCAACAAUGCCCGAGAGCGUCUGCGGGUCCGUGACAUCAACGAGGCUUUCAAAGAGCUCGGCCGCAUGGUGCAGCUCCACCUCAAGAGUGACAAGCCCCAGACCAAGCUCCUGAUCCUCCACCAGGCGGUGGCCGUCAUCCUCAGUCUGGAGCAGCAAGUCCGAGAAAGGAAUCUGAAUCCGAAAGCUGCGUGUCUGAAAAGAAGGGAGGAAGAGAAGGUGUCCUCGGAGCCUCCCCCACUCUCCUUGGCCGGCCCACACCCUGGAAUGGGAGACGCAUCGAAUCACAUGGGACAGAUGUAAAAGGGUCCAAGUUGCCACAUUGCUUCAUUAAAACAAGAGACCACUUCCUUAACAGCUGUAUUAUCUUAAACCCACAUAAACACUUCUCCUUAACCCCCUUUUUUGUAAUAUAAGACAAGUCUGAGUAGUUAUGAAUCGCAGACGCAAGAGGUUUCAGCAUUCCCAAUUAUCAAAAAACAGAAAAACAAAAAAAAGAAAGAAAAAAGUGCAACUUGAGGGACGACUUUCUUUAACAUAUCAUUCAGAAUGUGCAAAGCAGUAUGUACAGGCUGAGACACAGCCCAGAGACUGAACGGCAAUCUUUCCACACUGUGGAACAAUGCAUUUGUGCCUAAACUUCUUUUGGAAAAUAAAAAUAUAAUUAAUUUGUAAGUCUGAAAAAAAAAUAUUUAAUUUAAAAAAAUUGUAAACUUGCAAUAAUGAAAAAGUGUACUUCUGAAGAAAACUACAUGAACGUUUUUGUUGGUAUUCAAGUCAGCUAGUGUUUAUAAUUACUGGAUAUUGAAUUAGGGGAAGCUCGGCUGCCCUAGUAACAAAACCAGCAAACGUCCUGAUGACAACGAAGUGAUGACAUUAGCCAUUCCUUAGGGUAGGAGGAACAGAUGGAUCUUAUAGACCUAUGACAAAUAUAUAUAUAAAUAUAUAUAUAAAUAUAUAUUAAAAAUUUAGUGACUAUGGUAAGCUUUUGUUCAUUUGUUUCAGACUUUUUUCUCCUGUAAAAAAAUAGUACUGAUUAACUUUUUUAAAAGAAAGAUUUUACUGUAAAUAUGGAUUUUUUUUUUUUUUUGGUCUUAUUUCUGUCCCUUUCCCUGGUUUGUUAUCGUAACCUGUAGUGCCAACUCUGCUUCCAGAGGGGUAGUGCAGGAUGAAAUGCUGACCCUGAUGUUGCUUCUCAUUCAUAAAUAAGUAGAAAGUUGUUUCUCCAGUCUUUUGGGAACACAGGACUUAAAAGUCACAUCAUGUGUAGAUAUUACAAGCAGCAUUACCAAGACAUGGCAAAAAGAGUUUGUCUGAAUUGUAAUGUUGCGUUUGUGACCCUAUUCUGGGAUUUUCAGAGGUACAAGGUUAGAAUGCUACAAUGUUACCACUGUGCCUUCCAAUGUUUAUAUCAUCGGAAACAUAACAUAAUCAAAGUGGCUGUGAUUUAACAAAAUGAUUAAAGUGUUACCUACCUGUGUAGCCGAAGUAGUGUGCAGUGAGGCGUUUCUGAAUACAUGGUCAGAUUUUUGGAAAAAAACAAAAACAAAAAAAACACGUAAAGUUCAAAAACCGUCAAAUGAGAAAAUUGCAAGUAGUGUGACAGAGCUGAUUGAUUUUGUUGCUUUCUUGAUUUUUUUUUUCAAAAUGGGUUUACUAAAAUGUAGAUGACUUAACUGCCUCCUCCUUCGUCUGAAAAAUGCCAAUAUUCAAUCAUCAUGCAGCAUUAUAACAAGCCUUAUAAGUCCUAAAGCAUUAAGUUGCACUUUUUUGAGGAGGGGUAGUGCAGUAUUUCUCUGGCCAGUAUGAAUGAAGUUUAUACUUACCAUAUUUGAUAGAAACAUAGAUCAAGCUAUGGCACAGCGACUCAUCAGAUAGCUAGCUUUGACGUCUGGGCACAAUUGAACCAACUUCCAUCGUGAAUCUUUAUAAUGAUUGACUUUGGUGUAUAGUGCAGUAAACAAAUAGUGCUCCUAGUUAAGUAUUUGUCAGCAUCCUUUUGUCUCUAACUCGUUUCUAUUUUUACAGCCACACAAUUCUUGGCAUGUAUUAAGAAAAAAAAAAUCCCUGUUCAAGUAGUUUUUCCACCUAUCAGCACUGAGUAAAUGCCAUAAAUCCAUUGAAAUGGUCUAAAUGUUCCAUCUGUUCUCCUGUUUUGCCAGUUAUAUAGUAAUGAAAUACAUUUGUAAAUUUUAUGCAACAAAUGGCAAACGUAUCAUUAUUUUGAAAUUGUGUAUGUAAAAGUUAUAUUUUUACAUGUAGACUCUUGUUAUUAUGUGUUUUAAUACAUUGUAUCAGUUUUUGUUUUUUUUUAAAAACUGUGUGGUUUAAAAAGAAGUCUCAUUUAAAUGAAAUAGCUACAAGAAUCAGAAUUUUAUGUUCAUUUCUGAAAAUGUAAGAACAAAUAAGAUAGUUACCACGUGGUCAUCUUUUACAAACCCAUAAACAUUUUGAUUAGCUGUGUGUGUGUUGAAAAACUGUAAAUAUGUUCAGUAGCGAUAAAACUAAAAUAAUUUUGAUUUGUUGAUAAGUUCCUAAAAUGUGGAGGUGGAUUAAAACCUUAGGAGAAUAGCAGAAAUCAAACUUCAUGAAAAGUUAUUUUGGGGCUUUCCUGUGAAAUGUAUGAACAAAGAGGCUCAGAGAAGGGCAUGGAAGACAAUAAUGUAUACUCUCUCCUCCUCCCUGAAUAAUGAAAACCAUGUGUAUUUGUUCCUUCCGUAUGUUAAAGAUUUCCUUUUAGUGGUACAUUCUGCACUCAUUUUGUAUAGUCUACCAAGGCGGGUAUCCCUAGGAACAAUAUUAUAUAGGAAGCAGGUAUACUCUGAUCACAUUCAGGAUAAGUGUACAGAAGAAAAUACGGUGUUUACUCUUUAGGGAACUGGAAACACUCCCUGCAUUGAUGUACAUUUUAAGAAUGGCACUUUUGAUACAUGUUAUCAUAAAGGUGCUUAAUAGAGCUGAAUUAAAGUUUUUCAAAUCUGUAAACAAAGCAAAAAAGUAAAUUGUAGUCAUUUGAUUAUUUUUUAAAUUGGUGCUUUAUAUUUUGUUCUCACUCAGAGUAAAAGCUGCAAUUUAUUGUUCACCAGCUUUGAUGUAUUCAUUACUCAGUAAUGCAAUACCUCUAUUGUUGAAUUCCCUUUGGAAAUAAGUGAAAAUUCUAACGGCCACUGAAAGCUGCUCACUAGGUUUUGCUUGGUGGAGAAACAUCAUCUGCACCUAUCCAUAUUAAUUGGGUUGUAUCCCCAUUAAAAAAGAAGAAAAAGGGAAUGUGGCCUUUUUAGUGUGUUUUUUAUUGUUGUUGUUUUGUAAUUAUCAAACCCAGGUAAGAUAUUGGUAUCCUGCACUGGAUUUUCAAAUGAAAUUCAGCGGAAGACAGUUAAGAUUAAAGUACUAUACAAAAAUCUCAAAAGGGUCCAUACUACACUAUCUAUAUGACGACACUUAGGCUGGGGAUCUCUUUCAGAAACUCGGACUUUAAAAGCAACUUGGAACAGUUGAUCCACCUCCACAUUCAAGUAAUUUAUGAAUAUGCAGAAUAGGGAUCUGUUCAUCUAGAAAUUUUUACCAUUUGUCUUCUGUGUAGCUGCAAGGAACACUAAUGUUUAUACAACUGUCAGUCCACCCAGUGGUGCAACUGGUUCUGAUUCAGUCUUCCGAUUCCUUUUUAUUUUUCACUUUUUCCUAUUUCUGAAUUUUUUUUUUAAUUUGUGAUCUUGAUUUUGAUGAGGGGUUGGGGAGUGGGGAGGGAGUCGAACCAAGACUUGGAGUUAAGAGGAUUUUCAUCUUUUGCAUCCAACAGGCAGAAUAUGAUCUGUGUCCAAAAGUGAACUUGAGUCAGGAAUGAAUCAAUUUCAGCAUAAACAAGCACAAAAAUUUAGUCUGCUGGCUGACUGGAAGCAAAAAAGUCAAGAUGGAAUAUGAUGAAUUCCAACACAAUGGGGCACCAAGGCCUUUAGGCCUCUCUUUUUAUUUUGCUUUGGUUUUGUUUGUUUUUCUUUAGAGACAUGCUCUUUCUCAUGGGACUUGAAGUGGACUCAUCUUUGUGCAGUGCUGGUUUUGCCAUACUCAUUUCAAGUAUUAUAGACAUAUGUAAUGGUGAAAAUAUAUGAACUGUGGCCUUUUUCAUUCUUGUUACUUGUGAUGCAAUUAAGUGAAGAUAAGAAAAAAAAAAAAAAAAAGCAGAGAUUUACCAUGUAUCAGUGCCUGGCUUUUUGUUAUAAAGCUUUGUUUGUCUAGUGCUCUUUUGCUAUAAAAUAGACUGUAGUACACCCUAGUAGGAAAAAAAAACUAAAUUUAAAAAUAAAAAAUAUAUUUGGCUUAUUUUUCGCAGGAGCAAUCCUUUUAUACCAUGAAUAUUACAAAAAAAAAUUGUCAGAUUCUGAAUAUUUCUUCUUUGUAGAUUUUUGGAAUCAUUAUGAGUAAAAGUUUGUUACUUUAUUUUACUAUUUAAAAGAUGUUAUUUUACCAUGUGUUACCAAGAUGAAACUGUAUGGGUAGCUUUUUUGUUUGUUUUUUGUUUUGUUUUUGUUUUUGUUUUUGUUUUUUUUUAGUUGUAGGUCGCAGCGGGGAAAUUUUUUGCGACUGUACACAUAGCUGCAGCAUUAAAAACUUAAAAAAAAUUGUUAAAAAAAAGAAAAAAGGGAAAACAUUUCAAAAAAAAAAAAAGAUAAACAGUUACACCUUGUUUUCAAUGUGUGGCUGAGUGCCUCGAUUUUUUCAUGUUUUUGGUGUAUUUCUGAUUUGUAGAAGUGUCCAAACAGGUUGUGUGCUGGAGUUCCUUCAAGACAAAAACAAACCCAGCUUGGUCAAGGCCAUUACCUGUUUCCCAUCUGUAGUUAUUCGAUGAAGUCAUGUACAUGACCGUUCUGUAGCAAUAAAUGUGCCAUUUUUAUAAACUGUUUCUGACACUUGUUUCAUUUCAUUUUGCAUUGUCCAUAUAGCUAUGAUUCUCUUCUGUAAGUAAAACGCAUCUAUAUUUCAUUUUCCAAGUGUUGGAGGUAUUGACAGCUUAACAAACAAAACAUACAAAAAAAAAAUCACAAAAACAAAUUGAAAAGCAAAGCACAUGAUUGAUCAAGGAAGAGAUGCCCUUAAUGAAAAUGGAACGGGAUGCAUGCAAAACAAAAAGAAAACUGUCUAGAGGAUUAACUAAUUGAAGGAAUAUAAUUAAUGUGCGUGUAACACUGAAGCUAUGCAUUUGAAGAGCUCUGAACUGCACCAAUGUUUUCGGUUGUGCUGCAGGUUGCUAAGUCAAGUCAGCCUUAACCUUUUGCACCAGUUGGUCGGCUGUUUGGCAGAACAUUCUCAGCUAGAUCUUUUCAGUCAAAAAUCUAAGAUGAUUUAUUUUGUAUCACUUUGUUAAAAGCUGAAUAUUGUUAACUACAGUUAAUAUUAACACUGUAUUUAUACUUUCUCAAACUACACCCGCCCCACCACUUCUGGUUGCCUCUGUUGACUAUUAAUCCAGAUGUAAACAACCAGAUGUUUUUUUCUAACUUGUACAAACUGACGUGUGUCAACUAUUAUGGAAGGAAAAAAAUGUACAGAUUAAAAUUAUUCAGUGUUAUGUACUGUAAGUUAAUAUUUUUGUAGAAUGGACAUCAAUCUACUUUGCAAAAUUUGGAGGCUAUUUCAACAUUGCACUGUAGAAAUGUAAAGUAAUGUAUGCAAUGUAAAGGAAAGCCCGCGGUAGCUGAGCGCUUCAUAACAGAAUGUUCUAAUCAAGUACGUGGUAUUUGGGGAUGUCUCCAAUAUUGCUCUUGUGUUCUUUCUAAUUGGGUUUAGUGACUAGUUGAAGGAAAAUGUUACAACGCCAUUUGGUUCACAUGUGAAGUGCCCUCCAUAGCCAAAUGUUGGGAUUUUUUUUUUUUUUCGUUUUUGGUUGAACUGUUUGCAGAUAUUUAAAUUUUAUGAAAUUUCCAAAGAUUUUGGUUGAAACCCCCUUUUACCUUCUAAAUGAUUUGAGAUGUUCUUAUGUUCUUACUGUGUGUUUUAAAUAUAUAUAAAAGAGCCACAAGC